UCCAAGAGGGGCACCGUGGGUGCUGGU
rnacentral:piRNA from 1 species